UUGAACGCUGGCGGUAUGCUUUACACAUGCAAGUCGAACGGGCUAUGGGGCUUGCUCCAUAGUUAGUGGCGAACGGGUGAGUAAUAUAUCGGAACAUAUCCGGAAGUGGGGGAUAACGUAGCGAAAGUUACGCUAAUACCGCAUAUGCCCUGAGGGGGAAAGCGGGGGAUCGCAAGACCUCGCGCGGACGGAGCGGCCGAUGGCAGAUUAGGUAGUUGGUGGGAUAAAAGCUUACCAAGCCGACGAUCUGUAGCUGGUCUGAGAGGACGACCAGCCACACUGGGACUGAGACACGGCCCAGACUCCUACGGGAGGCAGCAGUGGGGAAUUUUGGACAAUGGGCGAAAGCCUGAUCCAGCCAUGCCGCGUGCAGGAUGAAGGCCUUCGGGUUGUAAACUGCUUUUGUACGGAACGAAAAAGUCUUCUCUAAUACAGGGGGCGAAUGACGGUACCGUAAGAAUAAGCACCGGCUAACUACGU
rnacentral:rRNA from 1 species